AACAUCGCGCACCUGCGGGAACCUGCGGAGGGAUCAUUACGAGAGUGUCACCACUCCCAACCCAUUGUUUACCUACCCGUCCACCGUGCUUCGGCAGGCAGCCCUGUGGGACAGAGCCUCGCCCCCCUCCGCGGGGGGUGCCUGCCGCUGGCCAACCAACAACUCUAGCUGUUUUAGUACCAUCUGAGUCUUCCACAAAUGAACAAAACUUUCAACAACGGAUCUCAGAUCGGAAGAGCA
rnacentral:misc_RNA from 1 species